GAUGGUGCCUUUGUUUCUACUGCAGAGUCUCAGAGGUUGCUAGGGAUGGAGUACCGGUUUCCCUGGAGCUUGGGGCUUCAGUUGCGCGGGUGGAAGGGACCUCGGUCACCCUUGGAGGCGAAUCCUGCGCCUUUUCCGGGUUUCUCAUGGGCUCUGUUUGGCAAGGCCAAGCAUUAGCGGACCCCACCCGGCCGCACGAUAUCCCACCCGGAUGCGCGAGCCAUACUCCUCUGCAGCGGGUGUGUCCCUCUGAUUAGAAACAGCAAAUUACAAAGGGAAGUGCCAAGAGCGACACUGGUAGGAAAGGCGAGGUGAGCGGGGAGAGGCCUCUGCGGCUGAGGCAAAAGCUUUGCACCACUCAGAGUCCUCGGUCACCCAGGACAAUCUUUGCAUUCGGUAUAUAGGCGCUGUGACACCUGCGUUCUCAGCUGGAUAAAAUGGGUGACCUGGGUUUUCAAAAGAUGUGCCUUUUUGAGAAGAUGAAAACGACAGUUUAUGGCCGCUGACUGCGCGCUAACUGCUGUGUAGAUUAUUAAGGGAUACUGUAAGGGAGAGGACCGGUUUAAAGCGAGGCUGCUCUGAGUGGAGCCAAGAGGUCACAAACAUUCCACCUGGCCCAGCACGUGACUCCACCCAUCUGGAGAGCCCUCCGGCCCCGCCCUGGGACCAGGUGGCUCCACCCAACACCAGAAGGGCCCAGGCCCUUAGGCAGCCUUAGGAGGCCUCACAAGAGAGCUCGCCGCCCCACCUCUGCCCGCCCGCCUGCCCAGACUGUCACCUGAGUGUAGUGGCCGCACAUCUGGUUCGGAUCGCAGGUGGCCGUGCUGAAAUUGUAAUACUCAUGCUCCUCGUGCCAGUUCCCCACGGCCAGCGGCACGUCCAUGCCCUCGUCCGUGAUGGCAAACAAGUUCUCUCCGCGCCGCCCGCGUUCUUUGUUGUGGCCCCACACGCACUUCUGAGCGUAGGCCUUGGCGAAGGCGGCCAGCUCGUCAUCCCACCUCUGCAGGGACGCAAGGGAGGCAAGACAGGGAGAGCCCUGCCUAAGACAACGCUGUCAAACCCCAACUCCAGAUUCUCUGUCUCAUCGCAGGUGAGACUCCUGCGAAGGGCAGUUUUGCUUAGAGAGCCUCCGAGGUUCCUUGUCCUUGGCUGGGAGAAGACGGAGCAAGUGUGCAGCAUGAGAGGGGAACUUAAGGCAUCUGACCCCAAGGACUAAGGAGGAAGACCUGGAUCCCAUUAAACUCCGAUGCCUGCUGUGGCUCUUGUUCCACCAACUUGACAGCCCCACCAAAAGCAGCAGCAGAAGCUUGGGGUGUCAUUGCGGGGAGAACUGUGUGACCAUGCCCACUUCCCACCCGCUCAGUGCUUUAGCUUCCUGCAACCCUCGUGGGAUCCUGAAUGGGGACAGUACCAGGGCUGUGCCUUGAUGAGAUGUUCUCUCUCUCUCUCUCUCUCUCUCUCUCUCUCUGGUCAUUUUAAAAAAUUAAUUCUGCACUUACUUUUAGGUAUGUGCGAAUGCAGGUGCACGCCUAACAGUGCCUGCACGAAAGAGGACAGCCUCUGGGGAGGGAACUCAGCUCCUCUGAGUUGCUUGGCCAGGUGUUUUGAGGAACACCUGGCUAGCCCCACUUUGGUCAUUUUAUUUCAAAUCACUGGUCUGGGUGGUCCCCUAGACUCUGACAACAGUGGGCAGUUGGGAGCAGAAAUGGGGAUCAGGGGGUCUAGGGUGAUCCACAGGACCCCGGGAUAGACAGAUAGGCUCCAUUCUAGGACAGGUAGUAACAUCAUUUCCAUUGUCACAGUGCUGGGUGUUAUGGGUACUCCCCCACCCCCCAGCUGAGGACCUCCCCGAAGCUGAGGACUGAACCCAGGGCCUUGUGCUUGCUAGGCAAGUGCUCUACUACUGAGCUAAAUCCCCACCCCAGUGGGUACUUUUUAAUAGAUGGUUAUGAUUGAAAGACCAGCUCAAAGUAGCCCCAGCUCUAACCUCUAAGCUGAGUCUACGCCUGAAGUCCCAGCGGGACUUACAGUUUGUGGUGUUGCAACCUCUCUCCCUAGAAGUAGGUCUGUCCACUCUGUCCUUCAGUAGUCCUGGUCACUAAGCCAGAAUGAAAGCAAGAACCAAGAACCCCAAGUUCGUUAGUCACUCAGGGAGUGUGGCCACUGUAAUCAGUGCCACAGGUAACUGGGUCCUGUGGGACAUGGGAAGACUGUGUAGGCAGACUGAGGGUGGAGAUAGAGAUUGGGCUAAACGACCAGGUGCUAACCAGGUGGGGGACACCCUGAGCAAAGUCACCAGGGGCAGCAGGGCUUGCUCCAUCUGUGGCGAGACCACCACCACCACCACCACCACCACCCCACCACCCCGCAGGUAGAAGUGCUACUUAGUAUCUAGGCUUCUAAUUUGUCUGCAGUUCCUGGUUGCCAAGGGCAACAGGAGUGGUGCCGUGAUCAUUUCCCACAGUCAUCCAAUCUGACCUGAAGGGCAAGGAUGUCAGUACCUAACUGUCCACCAGGAAAAGGCUCCCCACAGAGUCACCAAGCCCCAGGGGACAAGCUGAGGCUAAGAGCUAAAUGUCAGGAUCCCUGGUUCCCUGCUGUAUUUCCCAGGUGUGACCUAGCCCUUAGCUCAGGGGUUCCUGGCCACUGGAGGGUGUCUGGGAGUGGGGUGGACCAGUCAGACUUCAGAGAGGACAGAAUGGGAGUGAUUCUAACUCUUAUCAGCUGAAACCAGAGCAGACAUCCUGCCUCCACCCUGCCAUCUGAUAAUAAAUGUUCUUUUCGCCAGAUUGGCCACCGGCACCCAGCCUCGGCCUCCACUGU
rnacentral:lncRNA from 1 species